AGGACGAACGCUGGCGGCAUGCCUAACACAUGCAAGUCGAACGAGACCUUCGGGUCUAGUGGCGCACGGGUGCGUAACGCGUGGGAAUCUGCCCUUAGGUUCGGAAUAACAGUUAGAAAUGACUGCUAAUACCGGAUAAUGACGUAAGUCCAAAGAUUUAUCGCCUAGGGAUGAGCCCGCGUAAGAUUAGCUAGUUGGUGGGGUAAAGGCCUACCAAGGCUACGAUCUUUAGCUGGUCUGAGAGGAUGAUCAGCCACACUGGGACUGAGACACGGCCCAGACUCCUACGGGAGGCAGCAGUGGGGAAUAUUGGACAAUGGGCGAAAGCCUGAUCCAGCAAUGCCGCGUGAGUGAUGAAGGCCUUAGGGUUGUAAAGCUCUUUACCCGGGAUGAUAAUGACAGUACCGGGAGAAUAAGCUCGGCUAACUCCGUGCUAGCAGCCGC
rnacentral:rRNA from 1 species